rnacentral:rRNA from 1 species
UACGUAGGGUGCAAGCGUUGUUCGGAUUCACUGGGCGUAAAGGGUGCGUAGGUGGCCAGGUAAGUUUGGUGUGAAAGCUCGGAGCUUAACUCCGAAAAGUCAUUGAAUACUAUCUGGCUGGAGGGUCGGAGGGGAGACUGGAAUUCUCGGUGUAGCAGUGAAAUGCGUAGAUAUCGAGAGGAACACCAGUGGCGAAGGCGAGUCUCUGGACGACUCCUGACACUGAGGCACGAAAGCUAGGGGAGCAAACAGG